rnacentral:rRNA from 1 species
GGCGGACGGGUGAGUAAUACUUAGGAAUCUGCCCAUUAGUGGGGGACAACUCGGGGAAACUCGAGCUAAUACCGCAUACGCCCUACGGGGGAAAGCGGGGGAUCUUCGGACCUCGCGCUAAUGGAUGAGCCUAAGUCGGAUUAGCUUGUUGGUGAGGUAAAGGCUCACCAAGGCGACGAUCCGUAGCUGGUCUGAGAGGACGAUCAGCCACACUGGGACUGAGACACAGCCCAG